UUCACACAUUGAUUUAAAAUAACAAAGAUUUAUGUAUCAUCUUUUCAUGCAUGUUUGUUAACAAAAUGGGUAUGGUCGUUCAUUUUAGCCUCAAAAUUUUUAACUGUUCAAUUUGAUCUAUUAACUCAAGUUUUCAUUUGUAGGCAUGUGGAACAGAGUAGUUGGAAAAGCAUAUUAAUAAUGUACAAGGGCUUCAAUGAUUGACAUAAAAGGAUUCUUGUUGCUACCGAUUUGGUUGGGAGGGGAAUCGACAUAGAGCGUGUAAACAUCGUUAUCAACUAUGAUAUGCCUGAUUCCACGGACACUUUAAGAAGUAUAAUAAACCUUUUUCCUGCAUAGGGAACUUAAGCUAAAAUUGAAGUAGUUCCUUCGGGAUAAAGCUGACCUCUUCAAGAAUGAAGAUCUUGAAAAUGACAAGGUAAAGCUCAGCUGUCCUGGCUGGAAAACAAGAUCAAAAUUGUUGCUGAAUUCCCUCUCAAUAUCUCCAAAAACAAAGGAGUCGAUUUUACAUUGCUACAAAAUGGUCAGUGUCCCUAAAAGCGCAAAACUAUGGAUACUUAUAUCAACCACGUGGCAAACAAGGAUUAGCUUCUAAAUGAUGCAUUUUUUAUCCCAUACUUUUCUUACGGCACAGAGAAACCUCUAUUUUGAUAUUUCAACAAAGUUUUUUCUGCACCAAUUUCAUUCAUCACAGAAAAUGGCUGAAUUGGGGUGCACAGUGAACAUCAGUCUCAUAUCCAGUGAAGUCGUUAUGAAUGAUCCAUCCAAGUUGCUAAUGGAGCCUUAUAUCACCUCAUUGGGAAUGCUGGAAAAUCCAGAUAAUGAUUAAUUGGUGCUGGUUUCAGUUCCAACUGAGAUAGAACAGUGUGUUUCGCAAGAUAGCUCAUUCUUUCAGAUGAGAAGUUGUUUGAAUAUCUUAUACCACACAACAAUCUAAAAAAUGAAGAUGAUGUAUUCAGUCAGUCGAGGAGGUACUUUAAUGGACAAAAUAUGAUCUCUAAUUUUUCAUAGGGAAUAGAUUUUGGAAUGCUGCAAGAGUUAGUACCAAUCUUAAGUUUCUCCAUUUCUUGAGCAGUAAUAUUUGUAUUUUUUUUCAUUUUUUUUUUGUACAUUCUACCCAAUGUAUUACAA